GACGAACGCUGGCGGCGUGCUUAACACAUGCAAGUCGAACGGUGAAGCGCCUUCCUUUUUGGUGGGUGUGGAUGAGUGGCGAACGGGUGAGUAACACGUGAGUAACCUGCCCCCUUCUUCUGGAUAACCGCAUGAAAGUGUGGCUAAUACGGAAUAUUCUGGGUCUGUCGCAUGAUGGGUCUGGGAAAGAUAUUGUUUCGGUGGGGGAUGGGCUCGCGGCCUAUCAGCUUGUUGGUGGGGUGAUGGCCUACCAAGGCGGUGACGGGUAGCCGGCCUGAGAGGGUGGACGGUCACACUGGGACUGAGACACGGCCCAGACUCCUACGGGAGGCAGCAGUGGGGAAUAUUGCACAAUGGGCGCAAGCCUGAUGCAGCGACGCCGCGUGAGGGAUGGAGGCCUUCGGGUUGUGAACCUCUUUCGCCAGUGAAGCAGGCCUGCCUCGUUUGUGGGUGGGUUGACGGUAGCUGGAUAAGAAGCGCCGGCUAACUACGUG
rnacentral:rRNA from 1 species